rnacentral:rRNA from 1 species
UCAGUUCGGAUCGCAGGCUGCAACCCGCCUGCGUGAAGUCGGAAUCGCUAGUAAUCGCGGAUCAGCAUGCCGCGGUGAAUACGUUCCCGGGCCUUGUACACACCGCCCGUCACACCAUGAGAGUCGGGAACACCCGAAGUCCGUAGCCUAACCGCAAGGAGGGCGCGGCCGAAGGUGGGUUCGAUAAUUGGGGUGAAGUCGUAACAAGGUACC